rnacentral:rRNA from 1 species
AGAGUUUGAUCCUGGCUCAGGAUGAACGCUGGCGGCGUGCCUAACACAUGCAAGUCGAGCGAUUCGCUUCGGAGAAGAGCGGCGGACGGGUGAGUAACGCGUGGGUAACCUGCCCUGUACACACGGAUAACAUACCGAAAGGUAUGCUAAUACGAGAUAAUAUACUUUUAUCGCAUGGUAGAAGUAUCAAAGCUCCGGCGGUACAGGAUGGACCCGCGUCUGAUUAGCUAGUUGGUAAGGUAACGGCUUACCAAGGCGACGAUCAGUAGCCGACCUGAGAGGGUGAUCGGCCACAUUGGAACUGAGACACGGUCCAAACUCCUACGGGAGGCAGCAGUGGGGAAUAUUGCACAAUGGGCGAAAGCCUGAUGCAGCAACGCCGCGUGAGCGAUGAAGGCCUUCGGGUCGUAAAGCUCUGUCCUCAAGGAAGAUAAUGACGGUACUUGAGGAGGAAGCCCCGGCUAACUACGUGCCAGCAGCCGCGGUAAUACGUAGGGGGCUAGCGUUAUCCGGAAUUACUGGGCGUAAAGGGUGCGUAGGUGGUUUCUUAAGUCAGAGGUGAAAGGCUACGGCUCAACCGUAGUAAGCCUUUGAAACUGGGAAACUUGAGUGCAGGAGAGGAGAGUGGAGUUCCUAGUGUAGCGGUGAAAUGCGUAGAUAUUAGGAGGAACACCAGUUGCGAAGGCGGCUCUCUGGACUGUAACUGACACUGAGGCACGAAAGCGUGGGGAGCAAACAGGAUUAGAUACCCUGGUAGUCCACGCCGUAAACGAUGAGUACUAGCUGUCGGAGGUUACCCCCUUCGGUGGCGCAGCUAACGCAUUAAGUACUCCGCCUGGGAAGUACGCUCGCAAGAGUGAAACUCAAAUGAAUUGACGG